AGUUCGGAUCGCAGGCUGNAACCCGCCUGCGUGAAGUUGGAAUUGCUGUAAUCGCGGAUCAGCAUGCCGCGGUGAAUACGUUCCCGGGCCUUGUACACACCGCCCGUCACACCAUGGGAGCCGGUAAUACCCGAAGUCAGUAGUCCAACCUCGUGAGGACGCUGCCGAAGGUAGAAUUGGCGACUGGGGUGAAGUCGUAACAAGGUACC
rnacentral:rRNA from 1 species